AUUACUUUUGAUAUUUAAUUACUAGCUACCUGUUGUAAUGGCCAAAAAAGCCUACAGGGACAUACAUUCAUGCCUUUCUCUCCCUCUUUGCCAUAUUUAAACGUGUUUUCAUUCAAAACAUUCCCCGAGGAAGAGCUGCUAUGGGUGAGGGCCGACAUCCGGGCAACUGAGCUACAUACGGGUUCUUCGAGCCAUAGCAACCAGACUGGCGUUGAAAACAAACCGUUGCCAUUACUCUUUAACCUGUCGACCUACGCUGGUUAAACCCGUCAUUCUGCCUCCAAAAUGCCGAAAAACUGUGUUGUUUUUGGUUGUGCUAACCACAACUGGAAACAGGGAAAACAAAGGUUGUAUUUUGUUUUGCCAAAGCGUGAUAAAAGCCCACAGAGACGAGACAAAUGGCUCGCAGCUUUACACCGGGAAAACGAGGACGGUUCUCACUGGAGUCCCCCAAAGUCCCGGGUCGUGUGUUCGGAUCACUUCGUUUCUGGUAAAUAUAAGGAACAAAAAUCCACCUUCUUAACCACAACUUGGCUAUACGUCCGUGCUAAUGUUGUACUUGUUGAAUUUGUACCUUAUAACGUUCGACAGCUGAAGUUGUUGUUGUACAAAAAUAACAUGCGGUAUAUACUAUAUAGUCUAUAGCCUAGCUAGCUAUUUUCGAAAACCGGACAACGAGAGGAUACCAAAGACAGCGUUAAGAUGGACACCACCGGGAAAACGUAAGCCAGGGCGGCCAAAGAACACCUGGCGAAGAACAGUUGAAGGGGAGCUGAAAGAGAUGAAGCUUACAUGGGGCGAGGCACAGAGACGAGCACAGCAGCGAGAUGAAUGGCAUCGAGUCGUCAAAGUCUUAUUUCCCAUCCGGGAAGAAGAGGAUUAAGUUAAGUAAGUAAUAUACUAUAUAGUCUAUAGCCUAGCUAGCUAUUUUCGAAAACCGGUUUCGUUUAAAUUUGCACUUAACAGUUGGGUUUUUAAAAACCAAUAAACCCUAUAAUUUUCAUGUUGCCAUUCAAUACAUGUAGCCCUCAAAUCUCUCAAUAUUUUAUACACUAACACUUAAUCUUGUUGUUGAUAACUUCCGCGUCUCUUUCUUAGUAGCGCGCAGGCUAAGCUAACUAGCAAGCUAAGCUAAGCCUGAGAAGCUUUAAAGUUCACUGAGACGAGUCUGACGCAAAUAAUACAUUUUCGUUUUUUCACACGAUAUGCGAAUAAGUAAAAAUGCGUAAAUGAAGGAUUUAACGCCGACUUCCAAGCCACAACGCUCGUUAAAUGCUUUUUCUGUCAAUGCUGUGUUCGCUGUGAGCUGGUUUGUUUUCAACGAAUUCCCGGUUGCUAGGGGAUUGGUAGGCGGAAGUGACGUAGGUCCGCCCUCACCCAUUAAACGUAACGCAUCUGUCAUAGGAAGCAUGAGUGGCGUCAUAUUGUGGGGAAAACGACAUAGCUUAGAUGCAUUUUAGGAGCGUUCAAUCCAUUUUAAAGGAAUAUUAAUAAACAGGCAAGCUUAAAACAACCCACUUGGUGUGUUUUUGUAAUUAUUUUGUUUUGCUUUUUCUCUUUCGAAAUUGCACCUUUACAAAAUUCAGAGGUUUCCUGAAUGUGUCACGGCAGACCACGUGAUAUCAGUCUCUUCUCCAAUUGGUCGGUGCGCGGGCAGGAAGAUUUAAUCAGGAAGCACGUCGGCCCAGGGGGAAACAAUCGAAACGGCGCUAAUACACUUAAUAAAUAAAACAGUUAAAGUACCAAUGAUUGUCACACACACACUCGGUGUAGUGAAAUUUGUCCUCUGCAUUUGACCCAUCCCCUUGUUCACCCUCUGGGAGGUGAGGGGAGCAGUGGGCAGCAGCGGUGGCCACGCCCGGGAAUCAUUUUGGUGAUUUAACCCCCAAUUCCAACCCUUGAUGCUGAGUAGUCGCUUAUUGAAUGUCAAAUAAUGAUAGAAAAGCUAGAGCACACCAGGAAAUGAACAAGUAAAUUUUAAGAGUACGUCGUAGGCAAUUUAUCCUCCUUGAAUCGGUGAAAAGAAUGAUGCCGCUUGACCACGAAUGAGGACAACUUCAAGAAGUGUAUGGUAAGUCAUUACUUUUGAUAUUUAAUUACUAGCUACCUGUAGUAAUGGCACAAUUAAGUACCGAAGCGUCCUACCUGGACUGCUUUAAUAAAUCAAUAGUUUUAGUUGAUUAUGGAAACAUUGCCAUUUGUCCGGGGUAUGUAAUGCCUUCCGCCCGAGUAGAAAUUGCAGGAAAUAUAGUCUUGAUUUUUACAUUUUUCUUUCGGAGUUUGCGUGGCAGAAGUUUAUGCUGAUAUAAAUGUUAUUUUUUUGUUCAAAUGUUAAAUGGUAAUCACAUCUCUGAACAGUGCUAAAAACUACACACUUUUCCAAUAUCCUAUGUGGUUGACGAGAGGACUUACAAUUUUUUUUAAAUAUAAAAUAAUAAAUAUGGUUAACGUAUAAUCAUGAAAACCAACUGCUUUUUUCCAGUAUCAUUUAUAUUUAGACAUGAAAAAGUACAGCCAGGAAAUUUACAAAAUGCUAAAACCAAUCAAGCAGCAGUUGUUUUUUUCCAUAUACAAUGUAAACAUAAUUGUAGAACUAGAAUAUAAAAUUAUAGGCAAUUAAAGCAAUUAUGUUCCAUUUAAAGUGACUAAAUAAAGGUAAAGUGACAAUAUUGCGUCUGCACACUGUCUCUUUAAGAGAAUGGGUCUCCUGAGCACACAGAUGUGAGCUAAUGAAGGUUUUUCUUACUGCUUGUUUUUAGCAAAAAUGUGCCUCUAAGGAAAAUAUAAGAACAGUAAAAUAAAACUACUUCCAAUAUUUUGUUACAUGAAGGAAGUCCUGUGGAAUUUACAUAAUUUACAUAAGUAAAUUAAACAAGUUAGCUGGGGUGCUUUUGUUUCGUCUUCCACAACGGUGACUUAAUUAUCAAUGAAAAGAAGUCCAUAGCGGCAAACGUAUCUACCAUGUUUAGGGUUAAAUAAAACUCUACUAAUAUUUUUAUAAUGCAUAUUCACAUUUCAAGUAGAGACAUGCGUAAAAAGAAACAUAUUUUCUGACAUAAAAACUGUUGCUGCCAUAUUGCUUUUACCCAAGACGAGGGUUUUUCCUGCGCUCAAAAUUGCGUGGUGGCCGCCUCCAGCUAAUUUUGUGCCGCCCCCAGCCAGAGCGAUUGAUAUCGCUCAACACAGCGUAAAACUCCGGCUGUGAUGAUUUUUGGGCAGCAUUUUAACUGCAGUUGUAGCCCUGUGCCAGUAUGGAGGCGCUAUAUCGGCAGCAGUGCAAUGGAAAGACUUGAGGCAACUACCGAAGAAGAAACAGAUCGAAACAGGUUUUUUCCCGCUACUUGGUGCAUAAAAUUGACUGCCCUAACAAGUGGAUUUCUGCCAUACGGAGCAUGAUACAGCGGGAUCAUUGGACUCCUACAGAACACUCCGGACUGUGCUGUGAAAAUGUUGUCUCUGGUAAGUAAACACAGCAAUGUGUUUGUAGCUUCGUUUCCAUCCUUUUCUGACUAAUUAUAAUAGAUAGAUCGAUUGAAGAAUUUAUUAGAAGUUUGCAUAGGAUCAGGUAGAGUUUCAUGGCGGUACAGAUUGACUGCUACAAGGUCAACUAAAAGGAGUUACCCCAAGAAAGCAUUACCAGCAUGUCGUGUUUAUUUAAAAAAAAGUUUCCUCCGUGUCAGAGUAACGCUUAUGUUUUUUAGCGUUGCAGAUAUGUCAGGCAAAAUCAGCCACUACUUUAAAAAGCGAUCUCGCGAGGAGGAAAGUCAGGAGUCCAGGUGAAACAGAUUAGAGAAAGUAACGUAACAGGCGGUUAAAAUGUAAUAAUUCAUGGUGGUGACAACAUGUGGAAGCAAAAGUGGCCCCACCACACAAGCUAUGAUUCCAUCAUUCUCUUAUGCAAGCACUUAGGCUGUGUUUAUUUUGAUGGUUUGAAUGUAAAUUCUUAAGUUAUAUUAUUAUAUAAAUGUAUAUUCGAUGUUUUUCACAUAAUUGUUUUAAAAUUAAGUAGGCCAACUUAAUUACAGUCUGUUUUCCCCCCCGGUCAGUGCCUACCCCAAAUACACAAGCAGCCAUAUGAUUGAUGAGAUGGUAGAGGUAAUUGGCCAGAUUUUGGAAGACCAGUUGGUGACAGAGUUGUCAAAAUCCCCAGUGUGGGGAUUAAUGGUUGACGAGACCACUGACAUCUCUGUCCCCAAGUAACUGGGUUUUGUUGUGAGCUUUUUAGGACCCAACCAUGUGGGAAGCACUGUAGUCCAAAUCAGGGUGCUGCAUUUAGGUGGAGUGUCUGCUGGGGAUGCUGCAACUCUGUAUGACAGCAUCCUGCCAGUCAUCAGAGACGACAAAAUACCGCAAAACCGACAAGCUAGCCUCCUUUGCAAGUGAUGGCGCUGCAGUAAUGAUAGGGAGAAAAGCUGGAGUUGGGAAGAGACUCCAAGACUCAUUCCCUGGCCUGACAACCGUACACUGCGUGGCACAUCGUCUCAAUCUGGCAAUGUUAGACUGCAUUAAGGGGCAGAGUGCAGUUCAUUACCUCACUAAAUAUGCCAGGACUGUUGGAACUAUAUUCUGGUGCUACCAGGCCUCCAGUAAUAGGACCAGCAGUCUCAAGGACAUGGAUAGGCUUUUUGAACUCCCCCAUAUCAAACUGCAGUUUAGCAAUAUUCAGUGCAAGAUUAUUCAGAUCCAUUUUUGCUUUUUUUGUCAUUUACCAAUUAUUUUUUGUAUGGAGGAAACGCUACCAGAUGGGAAUCUAAUAAGGAAGCAACAGACCUCUCACUUCAAGCCCUGAAUGAGCCAACGGCACUAAGACCGUAUUCCUUUGUAAAGGACAAGUUAUUCCCCCUCUUACCCUGUGCCUAAUGCAACUUGUGCAAGAAAAGAUCCACCGGCAGUUUUUGGUUUUUCAAAAGAGAAACCUUUUUUUCUUCUCAGGUGGAGCAGGAGGUCACAGUGCUGAAAUCCUCACUGGCACAGCUGAAAGAGAGCAACAUGGUCAAAGACCGCUGGCAGGCAUGGCUUCAGUCGGAUGCUGGUCUGAAGCCUUUGCAGGAAGAGUUCUCUGCAUAUUUCCAGGAUGAUGUGUGGGAGAGCUUCAAGAACACUGUGAUGGAGCCAUUUCUGACUGCACUGACUGAGCACAUCAACAACAGAUUUCCAAACACCUGCAGUUUGACUGUCUUCAAUGUGUUCUCUCCCAGACACAUUUUGUCAAACUCUAGUAAAGAGUAUGGGGAUGCUGAGAUGAGGACACUGGCUGAGGAGUUUCCAAGACUGAGUGAGUCUGACCUGUUGUCUGAGCGGAGCUCAUACAGACUGAGAGUGGGGAGUCCUGAUCUCUAGACAAAAUCCCUGGCGGAGGUGCCUCUGUGGCUUGCAUCUGCAGAAUCUGCUGAGAUGUAUCCCACCCUGAGCCUUGCAGCUGCUAUCGCCCUCACAGCUUCUGUCUAGACUGCAGAUGUGGAGAGGCUCUUCUCUGCACUCAAAAUUGUGAAGACACCUCCCCGCAACAGACUGAAGGAGAGCCACUUAGAUGUCUGUUGUAAGGUGGCCAUUGAUGGACCAGACCAGGGGGCCAAAGACUACAAUAAGUGCAUUAGGAGAUUCUACAGAAUGAAAAAGAGGAGACUGAAAUGUUCUCUGUCUGGUUGCGAGAUGUGUGGAUAAAGUGUACUUUCAAUUUAAAGUUGGCACCUGAUUUGUGUAUGUAUAGUUUUAAUAAAUGAACGCUUUAACAUGAUUGUAGUGUGACUAUCAGAAAGUAAUUAGUCACUGAGAGUGGAAAACAGGGUUCUGUCUGACACGCUGGGUCCAAAGAUGCAACAUGAAGUCAUUACUGCUGUUUUGAGGGUGAUUUAUUUUCCCUUUGAGUAAAAAUACAAUACAUUACA